rnacentral:rRNA from 1 species
UACGAGGGGGGCGAGCGUUGUUCGGAAUUAUUGGGCGUAAAGAGCGUGUAGGCGGCUUGGUAAGUCCGCUGUGAAAGUCCAGGGCUCAACCCUGGAAAGCCGGUGGAAACUGUCAAGCUUGAGUCCGGAAGAGGCGAGUGGAAUUCCUGGUGUAGCGGUGAAAUGCGCAGAUAUCAGGAGGAACACCAAUGGCGAAGGCAGCUCGCUGGAACGGUACUGACGCUGAGACGCGAAAGCGUGGGGAGCAAACAGG